GACGAACGCUGGCGGCGUGCCUAAUACAUGCAAGUUGAGCGCUGAAGGUUGGUACUUGUCCCAACUGGAUGAGCAGCGAACGGGUGAGUAACGCGUGGGGAAUCUGCCUUUGAGCGGGGGCAACAUUUGGAAAAGAAUGGUAAUACCGCAUUAAAACUUUAAACACCAGUUUUAAGGUUUAAAAGUGCAAUUUCAUUACCCAAAGGUGAUUCCGCGUUGUAUUAGCUAGUUGGUGAGGUAAAGGCUCACCAAGGCGAUGAUACAUAGCCGACCUGAGAGGGUGAUCGGCCACAUUGGGACUGAGACACGGCCCAAACUCCUACGGGAGGCAGCAGUAGGGAAUCUUCGGCAAUGGACGAAAGUCUGACCGAGCAACGCCGCGUGAGUGAAGAAGGUUUUCGGAUCGUAAAACUCUGUUGGUAGAGAAGAACGUUGGUGAGAGUGGAAAGCUCAUCAAGUGACGGUAACUACCCAGAAAGGGACGGCUAACUACGUG
rnacentral:rRNA from 1 species